UACGUAGGUGGCGAGCGUUGUCCGGAUUUACUGGGCGUAAAGAGCGCGCAGGCGGUCGUAUAAGUCGCGUGUGAAAGCCCCCGGCUCAACUGGGGAGGGUCACGCGAUACUGUUCGACUCGAAGGCAGGAGAGGGAAGUGGAAUUCCCGGUGUAGUGGUGAAAUGCGUAGAUAUCGGGAGGAACACCAGUGGCGAAGGCGACUUCCUGGCCUGUUCUUGACGCUGAGGCGCGAAAGCUAGGGUAGCAAACGGGG
rnacentral:rRNA from 1 species